GCCGGGUGUGGUGGCGCAUGCCUGUAAUCCCAGCUACUCGGGAGGCUGAGGCAGAAGAAUCGCUUGAACCCGGGAGACAGAGGUUGUAGUGAGCCGAGAUCAUGCCACUGCACUCCAGACCGGGUGACAGAGCGAGACUCCGUCUCAA
ensembl:misc_RNA Metazoa_SRP Metazoan signal recognition particle RNA